GAAAGGACGCGUGUUUGUUCCCCGCUCUCCACUCCCAACUCGCCCCCGUACAGUCGUCGCCUCUCCCCCACAUCCCCAUCUUGCCGCCGCUCCCGCAGUCCUUCCCGUCCCCCCGGGAGCAUCGAACCCCGCGUCAGAGUUCAGCGGCAGAGCCGCCAGCCCUCCGCCGGAUUUGAGCGGCAGGAGCAGAGCGAAUCACCGAGCAACAAAUAAAAAGGAUUCUAGAUCGAGGAGGGAGCAAGCCAUUGCAGAGGAGAGGGGAGACGAUGGUUGGUGGAGGUCAGGCAUCGGCAGUGGAGACGAGGAAGAGCGCGAGAGGUGACGCCGGCCGGAUGAGAUGUGGCAGCGGAGCCCAAGACAGAGCAGCACAUUCUUGUCACCCUUCUCCUUGCCUCCACCCAAGCGGCUCCCUGCAGAGGAGAACUCGAUGAUAGCUCUCAGUUCAUGGAGAAAAGGCUGGCACCAGCAGAGAAAUCUCACGGGUAGAUGAGCAACAUGUUUUUGAUCUUGAAUCCCCUUUUAAAUUCAGAUUGACACUUCAAUGGCUCAUUGAGAUGAAAGUGCCAACGAAUGAUUCCCACGGGAAGAAGCAGUUUCCAAACAAGGAAGGUAUCCUUGCUAGGUUGUUGCCAUGAAGAUGGGAGAAACAUCCUGGUCUAUGAGUCCAUGAUGAAUGGGAUUCUGAAAGAGCAUCUUCAUGUUUGAAGCUGUCCAGACCUGUAAAAUAGAUAUGCUUUGUAACCUUGAUAUAAUAGUAUAUACAUGACUAAAGGAGCGGACAUCGUCGUCGUCGUGAAGAUGCUCUAUCCCGUUUAAAAAAGAGGGUCGACGGUGCUGAUUUGUUGUUUUGUCUUCUGUUGUGCGUCUAAUCACUGUGUUUGCUAGAAGGUGGAGCUCGAGCCGAGGAGCUCAGCCUCGAUCCGGAUGAGGGGAGCAGCAGCCACAUCCCCUUCUUCGCGCACGCCUCCAGUUUAUUUACUUGUGAUGCAUUCAUCUCUCUAGAAAGAGCAUCUUGAGAAGAAGCUCUCGACUAAGAGACAUGAGUUCCUGUUAAUCUAAUGUUCCAUAUGUUUGUUAUACUACUUGGAGCCUUGGACCUUUGGCCUUUUGUCAUUUAUGUUUUUAAUCGAUUCCAUACAACAAUUUAGUCUUGGCUGUCUUAGGUGUAGCCACUAGCGAUACAGUUUCAUCCAAAGUGGUCAAUGAGGCCUUUGUAUUCUCUGAUUUGCAGCAAAGUGGGACUCCCAAGUCUUCAACCAAAAUAGAAAUCGGGAAUGGAGCAAGAGUUCUGUUGGGCAUCCUCUGCAUUUUCCAUAUCAGGUUCCAUUCUUCAUAGUAUGUGUGUAAACAUAGCAAUCCACUUCAGUUCACAAUGUCAUUUAAUACGGGAUGCAUUAGGUACUAUGUUUCCAUUAUGAACUGGUAAUAAUUAAGAGCAUAGUACGGUGACCAUAAUCUGUGUUAUAGCAGAAUGUAGAUGUGGUAUGCUUGUACGAAUAAAAUGCAGAGUUUAGAAAUGAACUAAGAUCGGAGAGCAGGAAGUGAUAGGCUUAUUUUUCAGUUAGAAAGAUAUGUAUACUGUAGCAUCAUAUACUUGUCAGGUUCAUGUUUUAUACAUCAUUUAUACACCCGCAUAAACUAAAGUUUGUUGUUUCAGCAGUAAACAGGGGCACGACUAAGUAAUAUGGGUAGAAAAAUAAGAGCUUAUGAAAAGAAUAGUAUCUCUAUUGCAGAUGUGUGAGAGCACCCCAUUAUCAUGCAAAUAGUACCAGGUUUAGAGCCUUGAUUAUGGUGGAUAUAAACACAAAUAAUCCAUCUUAUAAUUUUGUAUACAAACCACAUUCUGGUGGGAAUUACUCCAAUUAGAAUUCUAGCUGCAGCAUAUAUCUAAUUGGUCCCACAUUGAAAAUCUCAAAUGUUAACCUCUGAAAUACAGUACGCACUUGUCGGUGUGGUGUUGCUCCGUACACACUACCGCAGGAUGCUGCUAACGCGACACUACGAUCAGACGCCCUUCGAGAAACUGUGUGCGAUGCCAUAAUCGCAAACGGUGCUGUAUGAAAACCGUCAGAAAUGUGUAAAACGUUUGCGAUGAUGGAUGCAUCAAACACGGUUCAGGUUUUAGUUGCGUGUGCGAUGAAGGGCAUACGGUUCAGUUCAAUGAACUGUUUGCGAUGAGGAGGAACAAAAGAAACGGGAAGCCAGAUGGAGGCAUGUGCGAGACACAGCAUACGGUUCACUCGGAUGAACUGUUUGUGAUUAGGCAACACAAAAGAAACGGCCAGCCAGAUCAAAGGUGUGUGCGAUGUACAGCAUACGGUUCACUCGGAUGAACUGUUUGUGAUUAGGCAACACAAAAGAAACGGUCAGCCAGAUCAAAGGUGUGUACGAUGUACAGCAUACGGUUCACUCGGAUGAACUGUUUGUGAUUAGGCAA